rnacentral:lncRNA from 1 species
CCUGUUUUAUUUUUCCCUGCUUUUGAGAAACUUGAAAUCUCUGGCGCUCCCUUCCUGCAAUGUCCUCUCUGUGCCUGUGACAUUGAGACUUGGAUGACAAGUUUACCUGUUGGACUCAACGCUGCUUGGAUUUAAGGCUGACUCAGAGUCUCCCAGGAGAAGGGAUGGGCCGGAUAAGGGUAACUGUUUCAGUGAAGAAUGUUCACCUCGUCCAGCUCUGCAUCCUAAAGUGUAGCACCCAGUGGGUACUCUCUGCACAUUCUGUGAAUGAAGGAGACCCUAUAAUCCCUCGGCUCCCUCCCAUGGCCUGAUGACCAUUACUGACCUACUAGCCUACUUUUGCACCCGUGGAUUUGUGUACAGUGGAGUAUACUGACCAACGAAAGGAUCCGAUUGUUCAUUCAUGCACACGGCGACACUUUGGAUCACGAGACAUGUUGAAAGACUCCAGAUACAAAAGCCUGCGUGCAUGAGAUUCUACUUCUAGAAAACUCUUAGAAAAAUGCAUCACUUAUCAAAAGGGCCCAAGGGGAAGGAUGGUGCGAGGGACCAUUAGAGGGAUGCGCUGUUCUAAAACGUGAUUGAGCUGGUGGCAGCCUCGUGACACAUACGUUUACAGAAAUGCGUUAAACUGUCUACUGAAAAAGAGAUUUCAAUAUCAUAUAUCAAUAAGACUAUAAAAAGUCAGACGUGUGUAUGGCCCUAAGAGUUGAGUUAACCAGCAUGUCUCUCCUCAC